rnacentral:tRNA from 1 species
UAUAUUUUGGUGUAUGAUGCACCAAAGUUUUUGAUACUUUUAGAAAUAGUUUAAUUCUAUUAAAUAUAA